AGGAGGCCGGCGGCAGCGCGGGGGCGGGGCUUUGCGGACGCACGCACGUCGAGGUGCUGCUGCCGGGAGCUGAGGAGACUGCGGCGUUGGUCUGCGGCGGUUGCUUUGGCGGCGGCCUUCCUGCGGCCGGAGGUUGGAGAGAAAUCCAGGUACUCAGUUGACCGGCCCUUUCUGCUGCCAUGGGGGAGCUUUUCCGGAGUGAGGAGAUGACCCUGGCCCAGCUUUUUCUACAGUCAGAAGCUGCUUAUUGUUGUGUCAGUGAAUUAGGAGAACUCGGAAAGGUUCAGUUUCGUGAUUUAAAUCCAGAUGUGAACGUUUUCCAGCGGAAAUUUGUGAAUGAAGUUAGAAGAUGUGAAGAAAUGGAUCGAAAGCUUCGAUUUGUUGAGAAAGAGAUAAGGAAAGCCAAUAUCCCAAUUAUGGACACUGGCGAAAACCCGGAGGUGCCCUUCCCCCGGGACAUGAUUGACUUAGAGGCCAAUUUUGAGAAGAUUGAAAAUGAACUGAAGGAAAUCAACACAAACCAGGAAGCUCUGAAGAGAAAUUUCUUGGAACUGACUGAAUUAAAAUUUAUACUUCGCAAAACUCAGCAGUUUUUCGAUGAGGCUGAAUUGCAUCAUCAGCAGAUGGCGGAUCCAGACCUGUUGGAAGAAUCCUCAUCCCUCUUGGAGCCAAGUGAGAUGGGAAGAGGCACGCCUUUAAGACUUGGCUUCGUGGCUGGUGUGAUUAACCGGGAGCGCAUCCCUACUUUUGAGCGCAUGCUUUGGCGCGUGUGCCGGGGGAAUGUGUUCCUGCGGCAGGCUGAAAUUGAGAACCCCCUGGAGGAUCCUGUGACUGGAGACUACGUGCACAAGUCUGUGUUCAUCAUUUUCUUCCAAGGCGAUCAGCUGAAAAACAGAGUCAAGAAAAUCUGUGAAGGGUUCCGGGCCUCAAUCUAUCCCUGUCCUGAGACGCCACAGGAGAGGAAGGAGAUGGCUUCUGGGGUUAAUACCAGGAUUGACGAUCUCCAAAUGGUUCUGAAUCAAACGGAGGAUCACCGCCAGAGGGUUCUGCAGGCAGCUGCUAAGAACAUCCGUGUCUGGUUCAUCAAAGUGCGGAAGAUGAAGGCCAUUUACCACACUUUGAACCUGUGCAAUAUAGACGUGACCCAGAAGUGCCUGAUUGCGGAGGUCUGGUGCCCUGUCACUGACCUUGACUCCAUCCAGUUUGCACUCAGAAGGGGCACGGAACACAGUGGCUCCACCGUGCCCUCCAUCCUGAACAGGAUGCAGACAAACCAGACUCCCCCAACCUAUAACAAAACCAACAAGUUCACAUGUGGCUUUCAGAACAUAGUGGAUGCUUAUGGAAUUGGAACUUACCGAGAGAUAAAUCCAGCUCCAUAUACCAUCAUCACUUUCCCUUUCCUGUUUGCUGUGAUGUUUGGGGACUUUGGCCACGGCAUUUUGAUGACCCUUUUUGCUGUAUGGAUGGUGUUAAGGGAGAGCCGGAUCCUCUCCCAGAAGAAUGAGAAUGAGAUGUUUAGCACUGUGUUCAGCGGACGGUACAUUAUUCUGCUGAUGGGUGUGUUCUCCAUCUACACGGGCCUCAUCUACAAUGAUUGCUUUUCCAAGUCUCUUAAUAUCUUCGGGUCAUCCUGGAGUGUGCGGCCAAUGUUUACUUUAUACAAUUGGACGGAAGAGACGGUUCGGGGAAACCCUGUCCUCCAGCUGAACCCAGCUGUCCAUGGAGUUUUCGGUGGACCAUAUCCUUUUGGCAUCGAUCCAAUUUGGAACAUUGCUACCAAUAAACUGACCUUCCUCAACUCCUUUAAGAUGAAGAUGUCUGUUAUCCUUGGUAUCAUCCACAUGAUGUUUGGAGUCAGCCUGAGCCUUUUCAACCAUACCUAUUUCAAGAAGCCACUGAAUAUCUACUUUGGAUUUAUUCCGGAAAUAAUCUUCAUGACCUCUUUGUUUGGCUACUUGGUUAUCCUUAUUUUUUACAAGUGGACAGCCUAUGAUGCUCACACAUCUGAGAAAGCACCAAGUCUUCUGAUCCAUUUCAUAAACAUGUUCCUCUUUUCCUAUGGGGACUCUGGUAAUUCGAUGCUGUAUUCUGGACAGAAAGGAAUUCAGUGUUUCCUGGUAGUGCUUGCGCUGCUGUGUGUCCCUUGGAUGCUGCUGUUUAAACCACUGGUCCUUCGCCAUCAAUAUUUGAGGAGGAAGCAUUUGGGAACUCUCAACUUUGGUGGGAUCAGGGUGGGCAACGGACCGACAGAGGAGGAUGCUGAGAUUAUUCAGCAUGACCAGCUCUCCACCCAUUCAGAGGACGCAGAGGAGUUUGAUUUUGGGGACACCAUGGUCCACCAGGCCAUCCACACCAUUGAGUACUGCCUGGGCUGCAUCUCCAACACCGCCUCCUACCUGCGGCUCUGGGCCCUCAGCCUCGCUCAUGCACAGCUGUCUGAGGUGCUUUGGACCAUGGUGAUCCACAUCGGCCUAAGCGUGAAGAGCUUGGCGGGAAGUUUGGCGCUGUUCUUCAUCUUCGCCGCCUUCGCCACCCUGACUGUGGCCAUCCUCCUGAUCAUGGAGGGCCUCUCAGCCUUCCUCCACGCACUGCGGUUACACUGAAAAGGCAAAGGCAGGGGUAUGAUUUGUGGUUUUCACUGUGGACACCGGACUGCUAUUAGCAGAAAGACCGUCGCCCCAUGGCCCGCCUUCACAGCAACCUCAUCCCUUCCUAGCUAACGGAUUCCACAUGAACACUCACAGACUGGGGGCUAAAGGGACAGAUUUGGGGACCAGUUUGUUGUAAGGAAUUCAGUGGCACCACAGCAGGACCCCGCGGGGUGGCUGCCCAGGAGAACGAGAACACCUGAAGUGUGACCUCAUGGCCCCGGCACUGCUUGGAGAGGGACAGAACCAUCUUUCUAGAACUGCCUCCCCUCGGUCACAUCCCCACAGGCAAGGGAGGAGGCCCAGGCUUUCCCCUUCAUUCACUUGAGAAGACGUGGUUUCUGUCGUGGGGCAGGAGCACUCUCUCUCUGGACUCCCAGUUAGUCCUUCCGGGCCACUGGGUUGCCUUUUCCAGGUGCGGGAGCUGGCGGGGGUGACAGAGAACCCCCUCUGACUGCCUGAGGCUCUCCUCACAUUUGCUGAAUCCUGAGAUGCGUUUUAGUGGCCUGGGGCGUGGCGGGGUCCAUGGAGGUGCCCCGAGCAGAGCCCCUCAAGAAGGAAGAACUUGCAGGGCAGCCAGUGGGGCCCCGCUGUGCCCCGGCCCAGAGAACUUCGUGUUUAUCCUUUCUCAGGAAGCACCCAGCUCCCGGCUGGGAGGGAGGAGAGGGCGGGGAGACCAACAGGGAAACUGCUUUCCAACUUUGCGCCGGGAGGGUGGGGUGAGCACGGCUGAGAAGGGAGGCGAAGUCAGGCUGACGCUGAGAUACCCAAGAUGUCCCUGGUGGGGGCCACCCUAAGUCACCUCGAGCAGCAGCUGGUGGGCAAGGUGGUGUCAGGUGGUGUGUCCGAGGGACCGCCCAUCUGCUCACACAGCAGAACUUAUGUGCCCCCGUCCCAGGCGUGUGUCCCCUGAUGUAGAUGAGGCAGGCAGGGUGAUGCCAAGAGAAGGGUGGUGGUCCCUCAGGCGUCUGAGAACGUCUGCACCUUCUCCAUUCACCCAGUCUGGAGUUAGAAUUGUUUGUGUGAUGAGCCAGCCAGAGGUCAGAGUUCCAGAUACCUCACAGACCCCAAGGGUGGAAUUCCAGAAUAAAUUCUACAGCGGGACGGGUUUCAAGUUCCUACCCUUCUCCUUCGAGCACAUCCGAGAAGGGAAGCUUGACGAAUAAGCCCCUCAGGGGGGCUGUGCGCCCUCUGCCCUCCCCACUCCCUCCACAGUGAUUAGCUGUGCUCCGCUUGCCGUUGGUUGUGAUCCCUGGGUAUCAGGGCAUCUGAGUCAUCCCUGCCACCCUUCCCCCAGCCACCUGUGAGUCAUUUAGAUAGACCCAGCCCUUCCUGGGUCCCCCGCCACCUCCAGCUUUGUGUGUUGUAGUGCAGUGAUUUUUCUGGAGAGAAGCGGGCCCGAGCGGUCACUCAAACCCACUCCCACUGGGCACCCUCCUUGCCCUUCCAGCCUCUGUCCAGCCCUUCCUCUGCCCCCUGGUGGUGAAGCCGUUUGUGCAUUUACACAGGAGCCCAGAGCGCUAGGAGGGAGCGCCUUCGCUGUCU